ACCUUUUUGGGGAUUCUUGCAAGCUUGAGGCUUUCUGAAGGUUGAAAGGAAGAGCCUUGCAAAAACAGAAGUAUCCAAAUGUUUUCCUUUGAGUUUCAUGAGGUGUUGGUGUUACUUACCAGUCAGUCCUGCAUGUUGAGGUUUUCACCUCAGGCCAAGUGCCUAAUGAACCCCAAAGGGCUGUGUUCUCCUAAGUAAAGGCACAGCAAGGACUGCUGCUGUUUCCUCCCCUUCAAUCUCUACCUCUGCAGUUCCUGAUUCACCAUGGGACACAGCAGCCUGAGCAAGAACAGGAACAAAGAGCAAAGCAGGUAAAACGGUACUGUCACUGCCACAGACACAUACCAAGCUCAUCACUUCUCUGUGCCAGCAAAGUGUGGGGUUUGUUUUUUUGUUUGUUUAUUUCAAGAAAAACUUUCUCUAUUUCCUGUCCCUCUGGGGGAAAUUUCUUCAAAGACUCAUUGCUGGAGAAGCCAUCACAAGAGAAACUACUUGGCACUGAAGCUGACCCUGAUUUAAUAACCAGAGCUAGAUUCAUCAGCAGCUACUAUACCCUAGAGAUAACUGUUGAUGCCCUGUCAUAGAGAUGGUGAGAUCAUGCUCCUCUUCCUGAUGAACUCUCUUUGGCAGAGGCAUGGAUUGAGAAAAAUGUUAAAAGUUAUUUUGAAGUAUUAGUAUCUUUUUCUCUCCCUCCAUCAUACACAGAAACCACGUAUUUUCUUCUAGUUAGAAGAAAUAUAGAAGUUAUGACCUAUAGCUCUUGGCAAAAUGGGAAUGUCAGCACCAUUCUGGUGGGAAGAAGGGCAAUAUCAUCAUAAAGAGUUAGUUCAAAUGUUCCUCACAGAGCAGCCUAACUGGAAAUGAAUAUGUGAGCAUUCCCUCAUAGCUGAGGAGGUCUGAUGCUGUUUUUCCAUAAUUCACUGGAUUGAAAUCUAGAUUUUAAACUGGGAAAAAUGGUAUGCAACUGAGUUAAAAUAUGGCUCCCUGUCCUUAAUAGACAUUUGCUGUUCAGUGCAUCAUAGCUGUUGGGUGGGAAGGAUUCACAGUGGCAUGGAAGGAACACAGGAAAAGGAAAAUGAAAGGGGCAGAGUGUUCAAAUAUUAAGUGAUUCCAUUUUACACUGCUGAUGCAAUCCAAGAAAACCAGCAAUUUCCUUUCAGCCUCCAUUUUAUGAGAGAUCCUAUUCAAGCUCUGAUAAUAAAAGGAACACAGGUGGGUAAUUAAGCAGGUGUGAAACAUGAACAAAUAGCCAGCUUUUCACAAUGUGUUCUGGAAGGCUAUCUGCAUUGAAGUGCUGAGUGAUUGAGUGACCUCACAGGCUAACCUGGGGACUAAUUUUCUUCCAAAAGUGAACAAAACUCAAACGGUUUCUGUAAAAAUUUUGCUCUGAAAAUUACUGACAGCCUUGCCAUUUCAAGAACUGUUUAGUAACAAGAGUACAUCACUUCUAAUCAUGCUUUUCAUAGAUAACAGCAGGACACAGAGAAGAUGGUACUGGGUCAAACCCAAGAUCCAUCUACUGCAAGAUUCACCUGGAAGCAGACAACAGUAGAUGUUUAGUGAAGAGUAUAAUAGGUCACAUACAGAAUAAUCCUUUGCCUUUCACUGCCUUCUAAUUCUUGGUUUACAGACUUGCUAGAUAAGAGUUUGCAUUUUAACCACUGUGUUCAAUGGCCUUCUAUGGAGCUCUUCUCCACAAUUCAAUAGGAAUACACCAUCUACACACCAUUUUAAGGGCCAUUCCUUUGAAAACUUGCAAGUGUAACUUUGAUCUCCUGUGGAUACUUUUUUCUGUCUCAGUUCCCUGGGAGAAAACAAGUACUGCUUACCUCUAGAAUGUGAUCGUGGAAGAGUUGUCUUGGUUUGGAUUGUGAGGUUACAUUCAUGCAAGGAGGAUUUUUUCACAAACUUCAGAGUCACGAGGAUAAAAUUCUGGAAGCUUCACUCCAAAGAUACAGGUCAAAAGUAUAAUAGUCCCUUCAGCGUAAAACCUGAGACAGCCAUGCAGUUUGCACAGUCUGAAAUUCUGCAUAAAUUGAGGACAUUCUUUGUAUAGGACUAAACCAUGCAGUUAACAUUUUGAUUUACCUUACUACGUAUGCACUCAUUUUAACACUGUAAGAUGUGAAAAUACACAUUAACAGAAAAAAUUCUAUGAAUAUGUUUAAUAUAUAUUACACAUACCACAUAAAUACCAAGUAUGCACACAAGGGAGGAAAGAGUACUAACUGCUUUUUCUUUAAUUUUGUUGUAAAGGAUCACAAUGAAUAACACAUUUAAUCCAUCUCAGGUAUCAUUUUUCUUCCGCACAAUUUUUUUCCAUUAUUCAGCUAUUUUGGUCCACAUGAAAGCAAAUCUAAAAUCAGUGAUUCUGAGGCUUACAGCCUCCCUAAUGGCUUCUCACAUGUACAUCACGAAACACAAGCAAAGAAAAAGCAAAGAGAACCUGAGCAGUCAGGGGGACUAAGGACUUAAAAUUACUCUAUAUGUUUUAGUCUGAUUUGGGGGACUAAGAGGAUUAACUUCCCAUUAACUUCUGCCUGCAUGAUUGAACUUCCAUGUUGUCUGCAUGUUUUACUGGAAAUCAUAAUCCAAACUCUGCACUGACUUUCAUACUGCCAUGGUUGCAGGUUUAAAAUUUCUUUUUUCUGUUGUUUAGUUUAUUUGUCUGUUUUCCUAAAGACAACUUUGGGAUACUGUAAAGUUUCUAAGAUGCAGAAAUAAAGCUGCUUUACAAAGU
ensembl:lncRNA